GGGCUUGACAUCCCACGAACCUGCCUGAAAGGGCGGGGUGCCCGCAAGGGAGCGUGGAGACAGGUGGUGCAUGGCUGUCGUCAGCUCGUGUCGUGAGAUGUUGGGUUAAGUCCCGCAACGAGUGCAACCCUCACCCCUGGUUGCCACCGGGUAAAGCCGAGCACUCGAGGGGAACUGCCAGCGUCAAGCUGGAGGAAGGCGGGGAUGACGUCAAGUCAUCAUGCCCCUUACGUCCUGGGCUACACACGUGCUACAAUGGCCGGUACAAAGGGACGCGAGACCGCGAGGUGGAGCCAAUCCCAAAAAACUGGUCUAAGUUCAAAUUGCAGUCUGCAACUCGACUGCAUGAAGGAGGAAUCGCUAGUAAUCGCGCAUCAGCACGGCGCGGUGAAUACGUUCCCGGGCCUUGUACACACCGCCCGUCACACCACGAAAGCUGUCUGUACUCGAAGUCGCUGAG
rnacentral:rRNA from 1 species